rnacentral:tRNA from 1 species
GCGCCCAUGAUGUAGCGGAAACCUAUCUGCUUGCCAUGCAGGAAUCGCGGGUUCAACUCCCGCUGGGCGCU